rnacentral:lncRNA from 1 species
GCUCCGGCACGGCCCACCCAGCCCGGCAGGAGUCCGCGGCCCCGGGGUCCCUGAAGCCGCGCCGGGCGUCGCGAUGGCCGGGCCUCAGACUGGACCCUCACCCUCCUCUGGCGGCAGCCGCCCUCCCCACGCCUGCCCCAUCCACUGCCACCAACCUGUGUCCGUUUCUCCCCCAGACGCCCUGGGAUCUGUUCCUCCUCCGCUCCCGGAGCCCUCCCCGGGUCUGGCCUCCGCGGCUCCCGCCGCCCGGGGUUUUCCUCACGUUGUGAUGUGAGGCCGGCCUCGCAGCGUGGAGGCCUGACCUGAAAUCAGAGCUGACGACUGUUCCUUCCCGCCGCGGGUUCCCGCCGCCGCCGGACGAGCCUCCCGGGAGCCGGUGACGAGCUGCCCGGAGCGCCCUGGCGGCCCCUGCGGGGACGUGGCUGAGGACGCGCCUCUCACCUCCCGCGCCGGAAGCCGGAGGAGCAGAAAACGCAGCCAUCGAGGCUCGUGGUCAGAUUGCAUUUCCGCGUCGCUGGAAGUCAGAAGCAGCCAUGUGACUUGCAUAAGUCAAUGAAGUGUGAGCAGAAGUGACAGAUGCCAUGUUCUUUCUCCUGCCCAGAGAUCAGCAAUGUUCAGGCAGUCGAGGCUCUGUCGGCCAGGAUCCUCAAGGGAAAUUACACGGAGUAAAGCUGCCAGCACCCGGGAACAGACACGCAGUAUGAGUGAGGUUGAAGCCACAGAGACCUUGGCAUUGUUACCACAGCACAACCAAACUUACCCUGACUGACACAGUUAUUUAUUUUAAAAACUAAGAUUUGAAUUAGGCCAGGCAUGGUGGCUCACACCUGUAAUCCUAGCACUUUGGGAGGCCGAGGCGGGCAGGUCACCUGAGGUCAGGAGUUCGAGACCAGCUUAACCAACAUGGUGAAACCCCAUUGCUACUAAAAAUACAAAAAUUAGCCAGGCAUGGUGGCACGUACCUAUAAUCUGAGCUACUCGGGAGGCUCGGGCAGGAGAAUUGAUUGAACCCUGGAGGCCAAGGCUGCAGUGAGCCGAGAUCAUGCCACGGCACUCCAGCCUGGGCGACAGAGCAGGACUCCAUCUCAAAAAAUAAUAAUAAUAAUAAUAAUAAGACUUGAAUUAAAAAUAAAAACACAGGAAUUAGUCUGUAUCCAGCCAGGGGAGAGAAGUCACAGCGUAGGGGGGUCACCUCGUCUUGCUGCACUUUGCUUUAUUGCUCUUCCUAGAUACUGCAAUUUUCCGAGUUGAAGGUUCGUGGCUACCUUGCACUGAACAAGUCCAUCAGGGCCAUUUUUCCAACAGCACGUGCUCACUUCCUGUCUCUGUCACGUUUUGCUAAUCCUCCCAAUAUUUCACGCUUUUUCCUUAUUAUUAUAUCUGUUAUGGUGAUCUGUGAUCAGUGAUGGUUCAAGUGACUAUUGCACUUGCUUUGGGCACCAGGAACCGUGCCCAUGUAAGACAGUGAACUGAAUCCAUAUGGGUGUGCUCUGACUGCUCCACCCACCAGCCAUUUCCUGUUUCUCUCCCUCUCCUCCAGCCUUCCUAUUCUCUGAAACACAACAAUAUUGAAAUUAGACCUAUUAAUAACCCUACAAUGGCCUCUAGGUGUCCAAGUGAAAGGAAGCGCCAUGCAUCUGUCACUUUAAAUCGAAAGCUAGAAAUGAUUAACCUAGAGAGGAAGGCUGCUGAAAGCCUUCUUUCAUCUUAAAAGGUUGUUUUUCUCCUUCCAAUUUGGAGAGAACUUAAAACAUUUCCAUGAGCCCCUAGAAGCACUCUGGGCCCUAGGCACUGUGCCUACUGCACCUGUAGACAGGUCAGCACUGCCCGGUGGGCAGGGUUAAGAUGACUUGCUUGGCCAGGCUGCAGCCACCUGCUCACCUGGAGCCUAAGGAGGUGAGGUUCACCCAACCACAUGAGCCGAGAGUGGGAGAGAGGGGUCCACAAGAAAAACCCAGGGUCUUUCUCCAAAGAAGGCAGGAUGUGGAAAGGUCCCACGCAGGCAAACCACAGAUGACCCCAGGCCCGAUGCAGCUGAGGCUGAGGUUGCAGUCCUCAGCGGGUCACCCCAUUCUCAGAUCCACACUUUUCUGGGGCCAGGCCUGAGGCUAAGCCGCGCGGGGGUGAGAGAACUGGGAGCAGGGGGAAGGGCAGGCAGAGCACUAACCCCUAGGACCUCUUUCCCUGGAGAGGCAGCAGUUUGAGAAUAAAACCCAGAGGCCUUUCUGACAAUGGUGGCUGAUAGCAGACCUGGCUGAAGCCAUUCGUUCUUUCUUUGAGUCAACUUUCAUUAAGUGUUAAAACCUUUGAUCUUACUUAAUGGCAAAAAGACCUGCAGACCACACAGUGCUUUGACACAGAGGGGACGAAGACACGCCACGUUGCACGGCAUGUAGAGUCUCCCUGGACUUCGAAUUCGAUGCCUUGUCACUAUGCAUCCCUUACCCUUCCCUUUUAACUAAUAGUUGUCAUAUGUGUUAUAUCUGUAUAUAUGGCAGACUCCAUCAAACAAUGUUAUCAUUUUCUCC